rnacentral:rRNA from 1 species
UACGGAGGGGGCUAGCGUUGUUCGGAAUUACUGGGCGUAAAGGGCGCGUAGGCGGCCUUCUAAGUCGAACGUGAAAUCCCUGGGCUCAACCCAGGAACUGCGUCCGAUACUGGGAGGCUUGAAUCCGGGAGAGGGAUGCGGAAUUCCAGGUGUAGCGGUGAAAUGCGUAGAUAUCUGGAGGAACACCGGUGGCGAAGGCGGCAUCCUGGACCGGCAUUGACGCUGAGGAGCGAAAGCCAGGGGAGCAAACGGG